GAAACACCUAUCAUAAUAAUAGGUGCAACCCCUCUUCCUGAAACUUCAUUCUCAUCCUGAAACAUCUCUUUUCAUUUUCGCGCACCUCUCUCGUCUCCGUCCUCUCACAUUUUUAUUCUCGAUACAUCUUCAUUCUCUCUGUUUCUUGUUGAUUUUGCAUUAGUACAUCACAGAACCACAUCUUCGUUGUUGUCUUGCGAGUUUUCUCCAACUCUAAACAUCAUCCUCUGCUAGGGUUUCAUACUUCUCCAUGAUUUCCUUCCUAUUUUCACCUUUGUCUUCGAUUUCACCGAUUAAAAUGCCUUUUCUCCGUUCGUUCCUCAUUUCUAACGUUUAAUCUCGCCUUUGAACCGAUUAAUCGGUUCACCUAGGGUUUCCUCCAGUAGAUUCCCUUUCUAUUGCUGCAGUUUGUGGCAGGAGUGUUACGAAACCUCCAUCGAGGGAAUUAGUUUCUCCGAAGGCAAGAGCGUGUUGCCUGCUUCCUCUGAUGAGAGCUUCCCGGUCACGAGCCAGUCAAAGAGGAUGGACAAAACCCGUGACUUAAUCCUUGGAGAUUCUCGGAGAAGCCUGAAACCGACAAUAUUGGUGUCAAAGCAUAAAAUGAGUAAGUUUGCAGCUUGUUUGAUUGCUGUAAAGAAGCACAUCGAUCAAAGUACAACUAUCCUCGAUGUGCAGGGAGUGGGGCUUAAAAGCUUCAACAAACAUGCUAGGGAACUCGUUACUCGUCUUCAGAAGAUUGAUGUUGAUAACUAUCCUAAAACCUUGAACCGCAUGUUCAUCAUCAAUGCAGGUUCUGGAUUCAGAAUGUGGAACACCGUAAAAUCAUUCCUUGAUCCUAAGACCACGGCAAAAAUCAAUGUUCUUGGCAACAAGUUUGACACCAAAUUGCUAGAAAUAAUUGAUGCAAGAUGUAUGUUUGCGUCGGUGUGCUUCUGCUGCAUCCAAUGAUAACAAGUCCUACGACCUGUUCUCUAUGGCCAGUCAUGAUUCUGAAUUGGAUCAGCUCAGAGACUAUAAAGGCAACAAGCUUUGCAAGUGCCAACCAUCUGUAGUAAUAAAAAUUGUCUGAAACUGGUGUGGUGUUAAUAUUAGAGUGCUUGAGUCCUUGAUUUGGGAUGUAGACUUGUGAUUGGUAUCUGUAAGAAGCAUCAUCAGGCUACCAGAAGCAUCAUAGGAACCCUAGAAAUGAAAAAAAGAAGAAACGAACUCAUUGUCACCGAGAAUGAUGACCUUCAUGAGAGUUCUUAUUCGGGAAGGCAUGACAAUGAACGUUGUGUGAUCUUAAAGAGAAAGGAAAAUCUCCAAGAACCAAGAUUGACCGUGGUGAUCAAAGACUUGAGGUUUCUUGAGAAGUAAGGCUUGUUGAUUUGAACAUCUGAACAAUCUGUACAAUUGGGUGUAUUCUGUGCGAUCUUGCAAUCUUUGAAGAUUGGCUUGGAUUCCCUACGGUGUUUGCAGGAAGAAGAAUGAUGUUCUUGACUUUGAGGGUGUCUCAAAGGGAUAGACAUUAGAAGAGGGUGUUCUUACUACCAGUCUUGUUUGUUUGUUGUUUAUAUUUAGAUUAGAGGGUUAGAGAGGUGUUUUACACUUUUGACGUGAGGUCUCUGUAAAAACCUUGUGCAUUUGCUUCUCGUAGUUGGAAGGAUGCUGGAUGUAAGCAGGUUGGUCAAACUAGUAUAAAAAUCAGCGUUUGAAUU